UACGAAGGGGGCGAGCGUUGUUCGGAUUUACUGGGCGUAAAGGGCGCGCAGGCGGCCAUUCAAGUCAGGCGUGAAAGCCCCGGGCUCAACCUGGGAAUUGCGAUGGAGACUGCAAGGCUUGAAUCUGGCAGAGGGGGGUAGAAUUCCACGUGUAGCAGUGAAAUGCGUAGAGAUGUGGAGGAACACCGAUGGCGAAGGCAGCCCCCUGGGUCAAGAUUGACGCUCAUGCACGAAAGCGUGGGGAGCAAACAGG
rnacentral:rRNA from 1 species